GCUAAAGCUAAAGGUGGAAAUGGAAAUUUGCCGUUUAAUUUUUAACUUCCCUCCUAUUCGUGUAAUUAGAUAUUAAUUUCUGAGAAGAAGGUCCCCUAUGCUAUGUCUAUAUCUCCAUUUAAUAAGUUGCAGGCAACCUGUGGUCUCAAGGAGUUAUCAUCUAUGAUUUAUUUAUAUAUUUAAGCAUACAAGUGUCUUUUUACAAAAUGCGAGCACUUUAGUCAGUCAGUGGAAACUGGUAGUUGUGUUGUAAUAAUGUAAUGACUACUUCUGCAACUUUGACUUUUUUUAGUAUCAAUCUUACCUCAUAUGGAUUUACAUAAUUUAUUAUCAUUCCUUAUUCAAUUCAGUGGCUUUGAACUUUGAAGCCAAAUGGGUGGAAGAAAGGAACUCUGCUGCUGCUGCUGCUGCGGCUGCUGCUUUUCAUGCAAUAUUGGGUUAUAGCACUCACAGCCAACGAUGCUUCAAACGACGACUUUAAAGGUCUACUGUCUCUCCAGGAUGAGUUGAAGAACACACCAAAUUGGAAGGGUGUGCUGAUCCUUGUGACAAUUGGGAAGGGGUUAGGUGCACCAAUUCGCGUGUGACCUCCUUGUAAUUUCACCCUAUAUUUAUUUUUUAAGAAUAUUGACAAGCAUGAAUUUGAUGGGGACACUAUCUAGUGAGAUCAGCCAGUUGUCUGAGUUGCAGACUUUGUAGGUCAUUUAUUUGCUUUUAUUUGCACUUGGCUGCUUCUGUUUCAUGGUAAUCCACUUUAACUAUUGUGUUGAGGAAAAACUUGGCUACCGUCUGUUUUCAUAGGCUUUCAGUACUCAGAUGUCUAAAGAUUCAAUGCUCAACAACAUCUGAGGCAGCACAUACCUCAUGCCUGGGAGCCAUUUAUCUUUGACACAUGCAUCCCAGAAAUCAACUAUUUCAUGGGAUUAUUAUCAUAAAUAUUGCGACUACGAAAUUUUAUUUUUUGUUUUAUUUCACAA